rnacentral:lncRNA from 1 species
ACCGGACGCGCCCGCUUCUCGCUGGAGUGCGCACCGAGCGGCAGUGACUUCGCCGCUGCUGUAGUUCCCCGGCUGGAUGCGGUGACUGGUGCCAGUGCUCAGGCGCCCGCUGCCCUUGACCUCCCGCCCCGCGAGCCCUAACUCAGCGCAGGAGGACCGGCUGCCGCCGCCGCCGCCGCCAGAGCCUUGGCUGCCCAGUUGCCAGUCCUACCACGGUCGGAGGUAACCUUCCUGGCUCCAGUCACAUGGCCAGAUAAGGUGGUGUGUGUGGGCAUGAAUUAUGUGGACCACUGCAAAGAACAGAACGUGCCCGUGCCCAAGGAGCCCAUCAUCUUCAGCAAGUUUGCCAGCUCCAUCGUGGGGCCCUAUGAUGAGGUGGUCCUCCCACCACAGAGCCAGAUCCACACAACUUAAAGAUCUGCUGUCGAGUGAAUGGGGAAGUGGUCCAGAGCAGCAACACCAACCAGAUGGUAUUCAAGACAGAGGACCUGAUAGCCUGGGUGUCCCAGUGUCGGUGUAUUCAGGAAACCUCCUGUCUUUCUCAAGGUCUCUGAAGGUCCAGACAGCACUGAUGGCGAGCUUUGGGUCCGCACACUCUGGAAAGAAGAGAGAAGUGAAGGCUCUAGGGGGCAGCAGCCACCAGCAAACACCACUGCCUGCAGGAGCCUGGGCUGACUGGUUGGGACUCACCGAAGAUCCCUUCUUCCUGGGCGGUGGCCUGCAGGAACUGGAACAGCUGCUCUGUGUAGCCCAACUCUGCAGAAGAGAGAAGACCUAGACCUGGCACCCAGCACAGACACAGCCUGCCUCGAGGACUGCAAGGGAACAAGGGCCUCACCAGUAUCGGGCAGCUGGCCCUGGCGGAGGAAGGCGGCAGCCUGUGCAAAGGCCUUGAGCAGCGGGCUGAGCAGGCGGCAGAGGAAAAGAAAGAAAUCUGGGCAGUGUGACUGCUGGCUGAGCUGGAGGGGACAGGCCGGGGUGAGUGCAGCUCCCCACCGCCUCCCUACCACCUCCCUCCAGGGGCAGCUUUUUGAAACACACCCUGAAGUACCGGCCGUCAGCCUCUCCGAAGUCAUCACUGUCACUAUCAGUAAAGUCCCCACUCGGUUUCCA